CGGAAUUAUUGGGCGUAAAGUAGCUCGUAGGCGGUUUGUCACGUCUGCUGUGAAAAUCCAAGGCUCAACCUUGGACUUGCAGUGGGUACGGGCAGGCUAGAGUGCGGUAGGGGAGAUGGGAAUUCCUGGUGUAGCGGUGGAAUGCGCAGAUAUCAGGAGGAACACCAAUGGCGAAGGCACAUCUCUGGGCCGUAACUGACGCUGAGGAGCGAAAGCGUGGGGAGCGAACAGGAUUAGAUACCCUGGUAGUCCACGCCGUAAACGGUGGGUGCUAGCUGUGGGCCACAUUCCACGUGGUCCGUGACGAAGUUAACACAUUAAGCACCCCGCCUGGGGAGUAAGGCCGCAAGGCUAAAACUCAAAGGAAUUGACGGGGGCCCGCACAAGCGGCGGAGCAUGCGGAUUAAUUCGAUGCAACGCGAAGAACCUUACCAAGGCUUGACAUAUAGAGGAAAAGUGCAGAAAUGCACUCCCCGCAAGGUCUCUAUACAGGUGGUGCAUGGUUGUCGUCAGCUCGUGUCGUGAGAUGUUGGGUUAAGUCCCGCAACGAGCGCAACCCUCGUCCUAUGUUGCCAGCACGUUAUGGUGGGAACUCAUGGGAUACUGCCGGGGUCAACUCGGAGGAAGGUGGGGAUGACGUCAAAUCAUCAUGCCCCUUAUGUCUUGGGCUUCACGCAUGCUACAAUGGCCGGUACAGAGGGCUGCAAUACCGCAAGGUGGAGCGAAUCCCAAAAAGCCGGUCUCAGUUCGGAUUGAGGUCUGCAACUCGACCUCAUGAAGUCGGAGUCGCUAGUAAUCGUAGAUCAGCAACGCUACGGUGAAUACGUUCCCGGGCCUUGUACACACCGCCCGUCAAGUCACGAAAGUCGAUAACACCCGAAGCCGGUGGCCUAACCGCAAGGAGGGA
rnacentral:rRNA from 1 species